AUUGAACGCUGGCGGCAGGCUUAACACAUGCAAGUCGAGCGAGCGGCGGACGGGUGAGUAAUGUAUGGGAACCUGCCUGAUCGAGGCGGAUAACUACUGGAACCGGUAGCUAAUACCGCAUACCAUCAUAUGUGCUCAGAUGGGAUUAGCUAGUAGGGGGGGUAAUGGCCCACCUAGGCGACGAUCCCUAGCUGGUCUGAGAGGAAGACCAGCCACACUGGAACUGAGACACGGUCCAGACUCCUACGGGAGGCAGCAGUGGGGAAUAUUGCACAAUGGGAGCAAGCCUGAUGCAGCCAUGCCGCGUGUGUGAAGAAGGCCUUCGGGUUGGAAAGCACUUUCAGCGAGGAGGCGGUACUCGCAGAAGAAGCACCGGCUAACUCCGUGCCAGCAGCCGCGGUAAUAC
rnacentral:rRNA from 1 species